UGGUUAGUUGUGAUAGAUAGUGAGUGGUGUUGUUGUGGUUUAUUAAGGGGUUCUAUAGGGGUGUAAUCUGUUGGUAGACCUUAGUUUUUCUUUGGGAUCGCGGGGAAUGAAGCCAUGUGAGCCGGAUAAGAGGACCAGGAUUAGAUACCCUGUUACUCCGGCCGUAAAGUAUGGCCACUAUCACUGGGUUUGCUAGGCGACUACAUUCGAAAGAAUCAAAGUCGAAGUACUUGGCGGUCUAGAGUUAACUCGACCCGUGGGACUUGGCGGUUAAUCCGAUGAUCCGCGUUUUAUCUUACCUAUUUUUGCAACAAUAUCUUUGUUUAGAUAUGCUUCAGUUAGUGUAUGGCCGUCGUCAGUUGUUCUUGAGAGAGUGUUUAAUUUUUUUAACCGCCUGUUUUAGUAUAGGGUACAGGUUAAGGGGAAAGUUGCUUGACUCAGUCAUUUUUGAGGGUUUGGCUGAAUGAAGUCAGGUCGUUAUGUUGCUUAUGAAUGGGGCUUAGCUGAGUCACAAUGAUAAAUUUUUCCCAAAGUAUUGGGGUUGGCAGAGGCUGUCUGAAAUGGGGGCUGUAAGUAGGAAUGGGCAGUAAUUGAAGAGUAGGGCGCUUUGGUGAAGUGGAGAUCU
rnacentral:rRNA from 1 species